rnacentral:rRNA from 1 species
UACGUAGGUGGCAAGCGUUGUCCGGAUUUAUUGGGUUUAAAGGGCGCGUAGGCGGCCUGCUAAGUCGGAUGUGAAAUCCCUCGGCUCAACCGAGGAACUGCAUCCGAUACUGGCGGGCUUGAAUCCGGGAGAGGGAUGUGGAAUUCCAGGUGUAGCGGUGAAAUGCGUAGAUAUCUGGAGGAACACCGGUGGCGAAGGCGGCAUCCUGGACCGGUAUUGACGCUGAGGUGCGAAAGCGUGGGGAGCAAACAGG